AACGAACGCUGGCGGCAUGCCUAACACAUGCAAGUCGAACGAGACCUUCGGGUCUAGUGGCGCACGGGUGCGUAACGCGUGGGAACCUGCCCUUCGGUUCGGAAUAACUCCCCGAAAGGGGUGCUAAUACCGGAUCAUGUCUUCGGACCAAAGAUUUAUCGCCUUUGGAUGGGCCCGCGUUGGAUUAGCUAGUUGGUAGGGUAAAAGCCUACCAAGGCGACGAUCCAUAGCUGGUCUGAGAGGAUGAUCAGCCACACUGGGACUGAGACACGGCCCAGACUCCUACGGGAGGCAGCAGUGGGGAAUAUUGGACAAUGGGCGAAAGCCUGAUCCAGCAAUGCCGCGUGAGUGAUGAAGGCCUUAGGGUUGUAAAGCUCUUUUACCCGGGAUGAUAAUGACAGUACCGGGAGAAUAAGCUCCGGCUAACUCCGUG
rnacentral:rRNA from 1 species